AAACGCUGUUGUAAACAACGUGAUGUCUCUUAGGUAAAUUCGUAUCAAAAUGGGAUUCCAUUGAAAUAGAGGCCCCUGUCAUCAAAAUCAAUUCGCCCCACGAUUGUAACAGAAAAUGUAGUGGACACACAUCCGUAGCGCGGUUAGAAUGAGGGUCUGCUACAGAUUUUCUGUUUGCCUGUUGAACGUAAUCCCUCAAAUUGCUGGAAACGAUGAGAUCACCUACACUGCCUCCACCACCAACCGCUCCGGUAGAGGUCAUGAUUGAAACUUUAUCGUAACGGGCGAAUUAUUGAUUACAGGGACGCAAAACAACUUGAAUCUCCCUCGAUGCCCUUCGUCGUUUUGCCGCACCAAAGGUACGUUGUGGUUGGAGCCCAUUUAACGAUCCAAGGGAUAUUCGCAACCCACACCUUCGGGGGGGAUUGCAGCGCAAACUAAAUGUUUCAACACAAGAGGCGGGAUGGAAUUCAAAGAAUGGCAUUUUUUUUUCUUAAUGAAACACGAUUAUUUGUAGUCUAAUGGUUUUAUUUACAACACUAUUUACAUAAUCUUUUUUCAAAAAUAGCUAAUGUUUACAUAAAUUUUAAGUUUGUGGUCUUUCCUAACGGUCCUGCACUUGUAAUGAACACCUCGUUUGUCUUCAAGGAUUCUUGGAACUCGCUCAGCCGAUUACCUACUUUGAAAUACUCGUAGAACCGCAGUGGUAGUACGCAUUUAUAAUUUUCUGUUUCCAGUACUAUUCGGUCACCAUACUUUGUGUUUAUGAUAUCGAUAUUCAGAAUUUUAAACUUUUCCUCCACUUCCAUAUCCUUUACGUUCUUAAAUGCUUUACAGAAUGUUCCAUUGUUGAGCGCAUUAAGAUCCAUUUUUUAACUGUUUGGAAAGC